GCAAUAAUUUCACACGUAAGAUAACUCUGACAGCAGAGAUAACAUCAUUUAAAUGCGCUCAAGCAUAGUGGUCACGCGGGGCCCCAACUCCGGACGCUCUUGCGCAGUGUCCUGUAGAAUAACAGCUAGGCUAUAGGCUACACGGCUGUGCACGUUAAGAUAGCCUACCAGCCUGACAUUUUCAUUCUGCGCAGUUCAUUUAUAGAAAUCUAGUCACAACGCCUGCUGAAUUUGGAGGUUGUGAUUUCUUGGGUGCAUUUAUUACGGUCUCACUCUGACUCUAUUCUCAAUCAGAUAUUAUCAGGGCGCUGUGUGAGUGAUGUGGGUUCCUCUCUAGGAAAACAGUUGCACCGGUCAGGCAGCAGGUAAGCAGGAUCGAGACGCAGGCAGCUGUCCCGUUAACUGGGCAGUCUGCAUCACGCGUACAGAUGCUCUUCUAGUAGCCAAUUUAUUUAAAUGAGCUAAACACACAUCUCAAGGAUACGUUUACUGGAAAUAAGGCACUAGGUUACUAGGUCUUUUCACGUUUUAUGCCACUAAACUCGCGUACCGGGACCGGCGCCAGGUUUAUUACCUUUGACAGCUCGCGCAACCGUCACUGACUGCUGUCAUUCUCCACGGUAUGUACUUGUCUCUCCACGGUAUCUAUUUGUCAUUCCCCGAGGCGUAGUAUAUAUUUCAGACGCGUCGAAGAAAACCGUAUACCGUGAAGUCCUGUCUUUUUGAGGAUUGAAAGAAAGCGUAGAUGUUUCUGUCCGUAUCCGGGACCGAUUCAAUUGGAUAAGUCUAUUUUACCAUGCCCUGCCUUGCGCCAGGUUGAGACCGAUUCCUUGUACACCUUUUAGAUAAAAGGUAAUGUAUUUGUCUGUGUGCGCAACCAUACAGCAGGCAUCUGUCUACUGGCUAUGUGAUUAUUAUUGUAUGUUGAUUGAUGAUCAUACAUUCUUGUUUUUUAUAUUCUAUGAUGUCAGUGUGCCCCAGCAGAGAGGUGCAUGGCUGAGGAGAGCUGUAUUAAGUGAUGUUAUAGAUCUGUUAUAAACUUUGAUGUGUGACAGAUGGGUAGAAUAGAAUCCCCAGGCCAUUACACUCUUAAUCCACCUAUUUGACUCCACCUCUGCUGAAAUAGCCAUUAUCAACAACAUUUGUGGUGGCUUUUCACUUUCCAAUAUAUUGAUGUAUUGACACACCUUCAAUGACCACAACCACAAUCUAUUCUGUUUAGGCUACCCUUGCACAAGCAAGUGGUCACAUGUGCCCUUCAAUUUUCAGAGCCACUCUGAAUGUCAUCAAUAAAUUAAGGGGGUCAGGGCCAGCUCUAGUAUUUUGGGGGCCCUAAGUGAGAUUUGGUUGUGACUGUCAGUGACUGACAAAACAAAACAAUUUUUGCCUGGAGCCGGCCCUGAGGAGGGUAUUUUUUCUUCUUCUGUAGGUUAGAGGACAAACAAUGUGGUUGGUAAGUGAGCUGUCACACCUGCCACUGGCCUAUAGGCUACUUCUCAUAGAGAGGGGGACUAUGUAGACCACUAUAUGGCUCAUCUGUUGACAUUUGUGUUGUGCGCUGUGUCCCUCUAUAUCUGCUGCUGCAGUGGGUUAGUGUUGCAUCUCUAAGCACACACUCUCGCUGCCACAGAAAGAGUGUGUGUUAGAGUGUAUUAGAGAGAGACCUAGCUAGUUCUACCUGAGGUAGAGGAGCAUGAUAUAUUGGUUUCAUGCACAGAAAGCCAAUCUUCCCCCCUCCAUCUCCAAAACAUACAGUAGUUGAAAGGGAAGACACAAGGAGGGAAUGGGGUAGAAAGGGGGUUGGGGGACUGAAAUAUGUUGCUAAGCAACAGGGAAGUAGACCAGGAUGGGGGAGAAAGAUGGUACCCACCAGCUUGCCUGUGGUUUAGUAUGGUGAUGAUGUUAGCAGUGGUGUCUGAGGACUAGGGGGCAGGAGGUGGACAGGUACUCAAUGUGAGCCAGCUCCCCCCACCCGCUUCUGGCUCCAUGCCAAUCCCCCCUCUUGUCGGGCCACAGGGCUCUGUGAUAGAUGGAGAGAUGGUCUGUGACCAGAGGGAGGACGAGGGAGGGGGUUGUGAAGGACAAACAAACACAGGUCACUCAUCUUCUCAUUCUACAUUGGUAUCAGUUACACAACAGAGGAGACUGGUGGGAGGAGCUAUAGGAGGACAGGCUCAUUGUAAUGGCUGGAAUGGAUUCAAUGGAACAGAGUUAAACACGCUGUUUCCAUGUGUUGGAUGUGUUUGGUACCAUUCCAUUGAUUCAUUUUCAGCCAUUACAAUGAACCUGUCCUUCUAUAGCUUGUCUCACCAGCCUCCUCUAUUACACACCCAGCCCAGCAGACUGCAUAUUCCUCUCUUUAUCUCACAAUCGCUCUCCCAUCCCUUCACCAUGAUUUGUGGUUACUAACCAGGUUGAUGGAUCAAAUGCAGCAUAAACAAAGCAGCACAGAUCCAGCCAGACCUUCUGGACAACCUGGGAGGAAUACUUUUCCAGCACCUGCUCUACCCCGGCGACCAACAGCUCAGGACACCUCUAUCCCCAGUCCCACAGGGGGGUCUGGGAAACUCCCAGGACUGGCCUCAGGUGUACGUCAGAUGCCAGACCAGGUGAGGCUGGAGCAUGUACAACCUGGGUCCAGUCCUGCAGUUCCAGUCUAUUUCAGCCGUCCCAGACCUACUGCACUAAAUUCCUCCAGAGAUUCAGAGGCUGAUAUGAAGGAUAAGGCCUCUAUUCCAAACCGCAUUCCUGGACCACACAGCUCCAUCUCCCUGUCCCAGUCCCCUACAGAGUCUUCCCUGUUGUCCCACAGCCCUCAGAGUCCUCACAGCACUCAGCCUUACACCGGCCAGCCUUACCUCAUCCCCCAGCCUCACCUGCCUCAGCCCUGCCUCACCCCACCAUCCAGCCUCAGCCCCAAACCAGGCUCCAGUCCACAGUCCCAGAGGACCAGCUCCCCUCUGGGCGCUAUGGAGAAUCAGCCACAGAUUGAAGGAGAAAUGGAUCACGGUUUCAGGGUGCACAUUGUCACAUGGAAUGUGGGCUCUGCUGUUCCCCCUGAUGACGUCACAUCUCUGUUUGGGCCGCAUGCUGGCGAUGGGAGUACAGACAUGUUUAUCAUUGGGCUUCAGGAAAUGAAUUCUAUGAUCAACAAGCGGCUGAAGGACGCUCUCUUCCACGACCAGUGGAGUGAGCUCUGCAUGGACACACUCAGUCGCUUUGGAUAUGUGCUGGUGGCGUCCCAGCGUAUGCAGGGGGUUCUGUUGCUGGUGUUCUCUAAAUUCUGCCAUCUUCCAUUCCUGAGGGGGGUGCAGACAGAGAAAACACGCACAGGCCUCGGGGGCUACUGGGGUAAUAAAGGGGGUGUAAGUGCGAGGAUGACGAUGUUCGGCCACCCGGUGUGUUUCCUGAACUGUCACCUGCCGGCUCACAUGCGGAACCUGGAGCAGCGCAUGGAGGACUUUGAGAGCAUCCUGCAGCAACAGCAGUUUGAUGGCGCGACCGCCUCGGGUGUGCUGGACCACGACGUGGUGUUCUGGUUUGGGGAUCUUAACUUCCGCAUCGAGAACUAUGACAUUCAUGUGGUGAAGAGUGCCAUUGACAGCAAUAAGCUCCCUUUGCUGUGGGAGCGAGACCAGCUCAACAUAGCUAAAAACAGUGAGUCCAUCUUAGAUGGCUUCUUGGAAGGCCCUCUCAAAUUCCCCCCCACAUAUAAGUUUGAUGUGGGGACACACACAUACGACACCAGCAGUAAGAAGCGAAAGCCAGCAUGGACAGACCGUAUCUUGUGGCGUCUGCGUUGUACGGGCUCCCCUGUUCCUACCCACAAUGCCGCUCUGCAGCGUGGCCUAACCUCGUGGCUGGGUGGGGCAACCAAGGUGGUGCAACACUCCUACCGCAGUCACAUGGGCUACACCUGCAGUGACCACAAACCGGUCUCUGCUGUAUUCUCAUUACAUUUCCCAUUCAAAGUGGACCUUCCUCUUGUAACGUUAGAGUAUGAGAAGGAGUGGACUAAGGUUUCUGAUGCUACAGUCAGAUUCACUGUGAGGUCCAACUUCCAGCGCAGCUCAUGGGACUGGGUGGCAAUAUACAAGGUUGGGUUCAAACAUCACAAGGACUAUGUAGCAUAUGUGUGGGCCAAGGCAGAUCAUGGGUCACAGGUGACAUUUACAGAGGAGGAUUUACCCAGGGAUGCAGGGGAAUACAUUUUGGGUUUCUAUAGCAACAACAUGAAUACUAUUAUCGGAGUGACAUUGCCCUUUCAGAUCCAUGUUCCUGUGCGCAGCCCGACAGCCCCACCAGUAUUCCGCUCAGACAGUUCUGACGUCAGCUCGGAGGAUGACAGCACACUGGUCCUGCUGGCCCCUGCUAGCUCCCGCAGCCCAAGCCCUGGAAAAAGCAAACACCACCAUCGUCACCGCCGCAGCCGCAGUCCUGCUCACUCCAACACCCCCAUGCCCUCCCUGCAGGGCCUCAGCUUGCACCCUCGUCCCCUAGAGGGCCUACCAAGCAGCCGCUCGCCCUGCUCUGCAGCUAAGAAGGAGCGCCUGGUCUCCCCCCAGGACACACUGCCAUCGCCCAUCAGCCCACUCACGCCCCGCAGCCCUGUGUCACCCGGGGGCGGGGUCUCAGCCCCAGAGGCUCUGAUUGCUGCCAUCCUGGGGGAACACAGGCCAACUCAGGUCACCCCGACAGGGGGCAGGUCACCAGGCAAGACUGGAGAGACAAGUUUAUGAGAAGCCCAAGCAACAAUCUCUGUGGGGUCAUGAAUGUGCACAGACAUUAAGAUAAGACUGUUGAAAUGAGGCCAGUAAAGACUAUAUGAUGAUAGAAUCUAGGGCUGAUAUGUCACUGCGCUCAUAAAAGCAGUGCAUUGUAUGACUUGUAGUUUGCAACAUUCCACAUGGUAGUGAACCAGUUGUCUCUGUUUCUUAAUCUACUUAUCAGUGACUUCAUCCCAUACAUACACUGUGUGUACUUUGGAGUCAGGAGCUAGUCCAAAUCAAUAACAGUCUAAGUCUUACCCCAAGAAGUGCUUUUGCAGACUCAUAUCAAUACUCUAUGUACACAAUAAAUGUAAAGCCAAAGCAAGAGUAAAUCUGCAAUGUACAGUACUGCUGUUGUUAUGGUAAGUUUAAAGGAUGUCUAUAUGCCCUACCCAUAUGGGCCGGAUCACUUGGUGUGGUAUGAUAUCCAUCUUUCCAUGCCCCUAAGCGCCAACUGAUAUUAAACCACUCCAACCGGUUUGUUUCUGAAUCUCCCCAUCUUGUGUAUAUGUGUGUAGAAUUGUACAUGUUUGAGAGAAAAAAACAUUUCUGUCUUAUUUUCAGAGUGAUAAGGAUUCUAAUGAUUUAGUGGUUUGUUUUGGUUGUGGACAUAUUGGUUGUGUGAGGAAAAUAAAAUGAUAAUCCUGAGAAAAA